rnacentral:lncRNA from 7 species
CUCCAGCAAUGGAGGGAUGCAGCAUAGUCCUCUCCAUCCUCCUACCAAACUUAUCUCUGUCCAAGGAUGAGCAGGUGUCCAGGAAGAGAGAGAUACCGUUCUGAUAAAGUAUUUGGAUAUUUCCAACAAUUUGACCUCACUCUUCCCUUCCCCCUACGAAAUCCACCAAGAUCCCCCCCCAGACACCCUUUCCACCCCAUAGAAGUCCCCUUUUCCCCCUUCUCAGCUCCCCUACACAAUGUCCCCUUCUACCGCCAGACCCCCUUUCCACGCCAUGGAAGCCCCGCUCACCCCUUUUCCCCCCCACAACUCCUUCUCUCAGCCCCCACAACCCCUUUCCACCCCCAUAGAAGCCCCUCACAGCCCCCAGCUUCCUCCUGCCAACCCCCUCUCCAUCCCCAGACCCCCUUUCCUCCCAGUAGAGACCACAUUCAUCCCAUUUCUCCCCCCUCACAACCCCCGUCCACUCCCAGACCCCCCCUUGCUGCCCUGCAGAUGCCCCCCUACCCCCCCUCUCAACUCCCUACGUUCCCCUCCACAAUGCCCCCCCAUCACCCCAGUCCCCCUUCACAUCCACAGAAGCCUCUUUUCCCACCCAACAACUCUUCUCUCUGCCCCCAGGACCCUCUUUCCACCCCCUAGAAGCUCCCCAGAUCCCCCGGUUUCCCUUUCACCCCUCCCUCCACCUCCAGACCCCUUUCCACCCCACAGAAGUCCCGGCUCACGCCUUCCCCCCUAGAUUCUCCUCAACCCCCUUUCCACCCCCCGCCCUUCCUUCCACCCCAUAGAAGCCCCGCUAACCCUUUCUCCCCCCGACCCCCCCCGGCCUGUCUCCGAAGGAGGGGCCCCGGGUUGGGGGGCCAGGGGCCCCGGGGCCAGAGGUUGGUCUCGGGGUCGGAGAGCCGGGGGGGGGCCCCGGGGUCCCCGGGGGGGGGGGUCCCUGGAAGACUCUCCCGUUCACCGAAGACACUGGAUUCUGGAGAUUCCCAAGAUCUGGAGCCGGGAG